AAAGAAGAAUGUUUUGUGGAAAUACUGGCUAACUCCAGACUCUUUCUCCAAUCAGCAAGUUAUCUCCUGACAAAUGUCAUUUGGGGGUCUCUCACACAUUAUCCUGCUCUACUGCCAAUGGGAAAGUUUCUGAAGUUCCAGUGUGUCAUUUGAUGUUUACAGCGUUGCCUGCCCCAGUUCAACAGGAAACACAAGCCACCCUUGAGAUGACAGACCUAUCUCCUAGCCAUUGACUGGAUGUUCGACUCCUUGCCCCAGCAGAACCUGAGCUUUCUAUUUUUAGUUUGGUGUGACUGAAGAUAUGCUGGGUAAGCCUUGUUUAGGGCCCCCUGCCAAACUCAGCUUACCACGCAAACCAGGCAAAGAGGCAACACAGCAGGCCAAUUAGCCAGCAGCUGUCUGUGAACUGAAUAAACGAGGUGAGUGGACAGCAAGGGGCUGUCUUUGCCACAGACAGUAAGCAGAACACAGGAUUAACUUUCUUGGUCAGAGCUCUGCCGGGAAGCCUGCCAUUUGCUCUGUCUGUAUGGUGAGACUCCUUGUUUUCUUCAGAAGAACUAAACCAAACUACCUUUUGGCAGAAGUAAAUGGAUCUCCUCUUAAUGGUUCACAGAGAAAAUAUCUGUUUUCCAGGUUACCAAAAUAAAUGUUAACAUGAACCUGCUA